rnacentral:rRNA from 1 species
ACGGGUGAGUAAUGUCUGGGAAACUGCCUGAUGGAGGGGGAUAACUACUGGAAACGGUAGCUAAUACCGCAUAACGUCGCAAGACCAAAGAGGGGGACCUUCGGGCCUCUUGCCAUCAGAUGUGCCCAGAUGGGAUUAGCUAGUAGGUGGGGUAACGGCUCACCUAGGUGACAAUCCCUAGCUGGUCCGAGAGGAUGACCAGCCACACUGGAACUGAGACACGGUCCAGACUCCUACGGGAGGCAGCAUG